GACGAACGCUGGCGGCGUGCUUAAAACAUGCAAGUCGAACGGACUUCUCAUGAAGCUUGCGAUUGAGAAGUUAGUGGCGGACGGGUGAGUAACGCGUGGGCAACCUGCCCCUGAGCCCGGGAUAACAGUUCGAAAGGACUGCUAAGACCGGAUAUACUUGCGGGGAAGCAUUUCACUGCAAGGAAAGGGAACGCUCAGGGAUGGGCCCGCGCCCCAUUAGCUAGUUGGUGAGGUAACGGCCCACCAAGGCGACGAUGGGUAGCCGGCCUGAGAGGGUGAACGGCCACACUGGGACUGAGACACGGCCCAGACUCCUACGGGAGGCAGCAGUUGGGAAUCUUCGGCAAUGGGCGCAAGCCUGACCGAGCAACGCCGCGUGAGUGAUGAAGGUUUUCGGAUUGUAAAGCUCUGUCUUCCGGGACGAUAAUGACGGUACCGGAGGAGGAAGCCACGGCUAACUACGUG
rnacentral:rRNA from 1 species